rnacentral:lncRNA from 1 species
AAUAAAAUAAAAUAAAUAAAUAAAUAAUUGAUGCUGGGCUUAAAACGAAUUCCCUUUGUUUUAGGACCAGCGUGUCCCAGGAUAUGGCAAUCACUGUUCUCUGGCUAAACCUACAGACAUUUGGAAUCCCUCUGUAUUAGUGUUCUCCAGAGAAACAGAAACAAUAGGAUCUGUUAUGAUAUCUGGAGGUGAAGUGGGACCAAGAUACACAGUUUGAGUUCUCUGUGCUGUGUAGUGAUAAAGAAUUUGGAUUGCUCUUAACAAGACUGAAAAUUUACAGGAGAGCUGCUUAGGCCUUCACAAGCCACCAACAUGAAAAAAAAAAAAGAGUUGCAAGUCUUACCAUCCCACAGGGAUUACUGACCAGAUUCCUCACACGUGGUUUGAUUUUCAAUCAACUCACUACUGUGGCAGUGUAUCAUCAAACAGAUACCACCUGGCUUGCAAGUAGAAGGCUCAGAAGAAAUUAAGAAGUUAUCCCCUCAAAAAUAACCCACUGUCCCUUCUGAUAAUUUUACCACUUGAAC